rnacentral:lncRNA from 1 species
CACAAGAACUUCCAAACGCCUGAACCGCAGCGGCCAGGCGUUCCUCCAGAACCUCCUCCCCCAGGAGCUUGCUGCAAGUGCCAGAAAUCUGACCACCAGGCCAAGGAAUGCCUUCAGCCCAGGAUUCCUCCUAAGCCGUGUCCCAUCUGUGUAGGACUCCACUGGAAAUCGGACUGUUCAACUCACCUGGCAGCCACUCCCAGAGCCCCUGGAACUCUGGCCCAAGGCUCUCUGACUGACUCCUUCUUGGCUUAGCGGCUGAAGACUGAUGCUGCCUGAUCGCCUCGGAAGCCCCGUAGACCAUCACGGAUGCCGAGCUUUAGGUAACUCUCACAGCGGAAGGUAAGUCCGUCCCCUUCUUAAUCAAUACAGAGGCUACCCACUCCACAUUACCUUCUUUUCAAGGGCCUGUUUCCCUUGCCUCCAUAACUGUUGUGCAUUUUGACAGCCAGGCUUCUAAACCUCUUAAAACUCCCCAACUCUGGUGCCAACUUAGACAAUAUUCUUUUAUGCACUCUUUUUUAGUUAUCCCCACCUGCCCAGUUCCCUUAUUAGGCUGAGAUAUUUUAACCAAAUUAUCUGCUUCCCUGACUAUUCCUGGACUAUAGCUGCAUCUCAUUGCUGCCCUUCUUCCCAAUCCAAAGCCUCCUUUGCAUCCUCCUUUUGUAUCCCCCCACCUUAACCCACAAGUAUAAGACACCUCUACUCCCUCCUUGGCGACCGAUCACGCACCUCUUACCAUCUCAUUAAAACCUAAUCACCCUCACCCUGCUCAAAGCCAAGAUCCCAUCCCGCAGCACGCUUUAAAAAGAUUAAAGCCUGUUAUCACUCGCCUGCUACAGCAUGGCCUUUUAAAGCCUAUAGACUGUCCUUACAAUUCCCCCAUUUUACCUGUCCUAAAACCAGACAAGCCUUACAAGUUAGUUCAAGAUCUGCGCCUUAUCAACGAAAUUGUUUCGCCCAUCCACCCCGUGGUGCCAAACCCAUAUACUCUCCUAUCCUCGAUACCUGCCUCUACAACCCAUUAUUCUCAAACAUGCUUUCUUUACUAUUCCUUUGCACCCUUAAUCCCAGCCUCUCUUGGCUUUCACUUGGACUGUUCUCCUCCUUUUCUUUUCUUUUCUCCUCCCUCCCCUCCUCCUCCUCCUCCUUCUUCUUCUUCCUCUUCUUCUUCUUCUUUUAAAUAGGGUCUCACUCUGUCAUCCAGACUGUAAUGCAACUUUUAGUAGUUCCCUACUUGCUGAGGUUUUACCUCAGUCUUGGCCUUUGAUGAGUGACCAAAAUCUUUGCUUAGGGCACUGAGAGAAGGAAUAGUUUUAUUCCCAUGAGGUUGGCCAUUUAAAUUCAUACUAUAUUUGGCUUAGAUUGAUUCUCAGUUAUUGUCAUAAUAAGUUUCUUGUUUAUAUGAUGCACAGCGAAAUGAAAAUGGUCAGUUGUUACUGUGGAAUCAGAUAGCUACUGAAAAUUCAGGCAUGCCAAUAGGUUCCUUUCUUGGACCUUCUCUUUUUCUCAAUUGAUAAAUCUCAGAGUGUCUUUUCAGUGCCUCCACAUUUUCAGCUCGAACACAAAUAAGUUUCCAGUAUAAUGUCCUAUUGCGCUUCAUCCCAACUUGCUUCCUCUUCUUCUUAUAAUUAUGCUUUCUCCUAUCUCCAUGAUUAUUGAUGACAUCUCACUCUCCUGGAUUAUUUUCUUAACUGUUCUAACCAAAUCUUGUAAGACUGAGAUCAAUUUUCACCUCUUUCCUAAAGCCAUGCAUGUCCUUCCCCAAACUUCAGCCUGAAAUAGUAUUUCCAGUUUAUGAAUAGUACUUCUAGCAUUUAUUCAGGAGUGAAUUAUGUCUAUAUCUUAUAUUAUUUAAAAUAUCUUAAAAACUUUUACACCUACUUACACUUCUAGUUUAACACUUAUCUAACUUUAUUAGAGGGUGCAGCUUGAAGGCAUACUUACUGUUAUGGGCUGAAUCGUGUUACCCAAAACUCAUAUUGAGGUCCUAACUCCUAGUAUCUCCGAAUGUGACUGUAUUUGAAGAUAAGCGUUGUCAAGAGGUAAUUAAGUUAAAACAGUGUCGUUACAUUGGGCCUUAACCAAUAUGACUAGUGUCUUUAUGAGAAGGGGAAAUUAGAAGGUAGACACACGCAGAGAAAAGACCAUGUGAAGACACGGGAGAAGACCGCCAUGCACUACCCAAGGAAAGAGACCUCAGAAGAUACCAACCUUGAUGAUCUUGAACUUCUAGAUCACACUCUGCAGCAAGAAGGUCCUGAGCCUCUCAUUGUGAUCUCAACACUUUUAUUACAGUGAUGAGCUCAAGAUUGGGCACCUGUCUUCAGCUGUUUUUAUCUGGAUGAGGUCCUAUUUUUCUUUAAAUGAAUGGAUGAUGAAAGCUAUUUCUUUUCCCAUGUAGUAUAAGAACAAGAGAGCAUGCAGGAGCCUCUGGCUGCCUUUUAGGGCCAAGAGUUUACAGCUGACCUAAGAAUCAUAAGCAAAACCAAGAAAGAAAAGUUGAGAAGGAUAAACCAGGGUGUGAUCACAUUGCUUUAACAAAAAUAAAGCCACAAUGAAAACGGGUUUAUCUUUAGCCUCUUCAGUAACAUAAACCAAUAUAUUCCCCUACCAGAGAGUCCCAUUCUUUGAUAUCCUAGCUUCUGUCAGGUGGUCUCUACAGAGGUGUGAUUCUGAAUCCUGCUAUACAGUUAUAGUAACUACCUCCUCUUGCAUCCUUCCCAUUCCAGAUGGUUGUGGCUGUUUUGUGUUGUUUCUAAUCCCCAGAAUAUCUCCCUGUGUUCUUUUUAACUUCUCAGCUCUUCUUUCACAUAUGGUGCAGAUCCAUAUAUUAAAUUCUCCUUGCUUGAAAUACCUAGAGUCGUUUCUGUUUUCCUAACUGUACUAUGACUGCUUUAGCACUCUUAAAAUGAAGAGAAAGAGAGAGACACUCAGAGUGUACAUGCACAGAGGAAAGACAAUGUGAAGACACAGUGAGAAGGUGGCCGUCUGCAAGUCUAGGGGCGAGGCCUCAGGAGAAACCAAACCUGACAACACUUGGAUAUUGGAUUUCCAGCCUCUGGAACUAUGAAAAAUAAAGAUCUGUUUUUCAAGCCUUCAUUUUUUAUGGCAGCCCUAGAAGACUAUUACAGAUGUCAUUUAACUAUGAGUCUAUGAUGAUGUCUAAUUUGAAAUUCAUGAGCUUUGCAACAUCUUCACAUCAGGACAAAUAACCCCCCUGCUGUUGAAAUCACUUGCAUAAUUUAUAACGUUCAAAAUUGGAAUUGCAUCAUUGCCUCCUUUGCAAUUACCCUGUAGUCAAGCCUUUCACCUUACUGAAAGGUCUUUAAUUUUUCUUGAUUUUUAAGCAUUUCUCAAUUUCUAAUGGGCUCAUUUUGACGCAAAAGUCAAAUGCAAAUAAUUUGUUGAUAAUUUAGUGGCAAUUCACUAUUUGCUAUGAUCAUUUCAAACACAUUAGAAACACAUUGCCAUAUUUUAUAUUCUUUAGACCUCCUAUCUUUAAAAUAAAAGUGUGUGUGUGUGUGUAAUUUUAUAUAUGUGUGAUUUUUUUUUUCAGGCUAAAAUGAAACAAUAACUUGUCUGGCUGAUUAGAUUUCCUUGGAGGUGAACUUUCACAAAUAGCCAAAAAUGUUUGCAAGUAAAGAGUAUAACUGGGCUUUUAAAUAACUCCUCUAAAAUCAAAAUGAAGAACAAAAGCUUCCUUCCUUUCAGAAAGUAAUCUGCAACCACUCUCAUGCAUUUGUGUGCUUUUUAAAAAAAAUAUUGAGGAUGGAAGGGAAGCAUGGUACAUGUAAGUUCAAAUCUUACCUGUCACAUGCCUAAUCUAUGAAUCCAAAUGGAUUUUUUCAUUAGUGGUUUUUAGACUAAAGUAACGUGAAUUAAUUUAACAAAGUAAAUGAUGACAUUGGAAACUAAUAAAGAACAUAGAUACAGAACUUUUUCCUUUAUUUUGCAUGCCUCACUUACUAUUUUAAAUGAGUAAACCUCCCUCAUGGCAUCCAUGAGAUGAGAGACAAUUCAAGGCAUUUAAGGCAAUCUUAGAGAAACUUUCUUCACUACUUUCUACCUUUUAUUUUCUCAAUUCUUUCAAAAACGAGUCAACAGAUUUCUGACAUUUUAAACUUAUUGUAUUGAAGAUACAUAAAACGCCUGCUCCCUUUACUCUCCUCUGCAUGUAUGAAAAUGAAAAUCAGGCUAUUUCCAUAACCAACAAACUUUAUUUCUUAUGAAAUAUUUCAGAUACAAAUGGUAGUAAGGCUCCUAUUAAAACAAAAAAAUUUUACCCUCACCACUAAAAAAAGAAAUCAACAUUACCAAGGUUGAUCUUGAGUAUCUCUCCUCUUCUCUCCACCAGAGGCAUAGAAUUACACAAUUUUAAUGACUUGAGCCCAAAAGACAGUAACAAAACAGAAGAAUUGGCAACUCCAUAGAGACUGCAUUUCAUAACUGGAAUUCGUCACCUAUGGAAGCAGACAACAGAGGAUAAUUAAAUGAAUGAUCACAUAAAAUGAACUGAAGUCACUGAACACUUAAACAGCUAUCGCAUGUUAAUCAUAAUUUGUAUCAGCUCUCAUUCUUUGAUCUUGGGAUGACUUUCUUCUGCAUAAUAAUGAGGUUAUAUUACUUGUGUUGACAUCAUUUAAAGAAGUGAAUACAGUAGACUGCAACUGGAUUUGAAUCUAGAUUUUUUUCUUCAACACAGUCAUCUAGCUUUAAGAAAUCAUUUAAAAGGUUGAAUGUGAAACAGCUCUGACCAUUGUAAGAGUAAACAUAAAAUGUACAAAGAAUUAUUUUAAUGGUUUGAUUAUCUGUACUUUAGAGAUAGUUAUUAUAUCCCAUCUUUGAUUUGUGCAUGUUCACUUAACUCCCUUUAAAUGUCUCGACCACAGCUCAUGUUACUUUACUAUCAUUUUUGGGUAAUAUUUUUACUUCUCUGGAGUUUUAACCAUUUUAAUGACAAAAAGUUCACAUAUGUAUGAAAGCAAUUAAAUAUAUUAGAUUUGUAAGAACUUACAAAUAUGCAGUACUUACAUAUUACAAAUAAUGCAGUAAUUUGUUAUGACAUUUUGAGAGAAAUACACUGUCAUCAUGCUUAAUUUGAUAAGGAAAGUGAAAGUUGUCUUAUAUCAUCACAAUUAAAUAAUGUUGCUUAAAGUUGUAAAUAUGUGACAUUGGAAAAGUAACUGAUGAAAGGUAUAAA